rnacentral:rRNA from 1 species
GAUGAACGCUGGCGGCGUGCCUAAUACAUGCCAGUCGAGCGAACAGACGAGGAGCUUGCUCCUCUGACGUUAGCGGCGGACGGGUGAGUAACACGUGGAUAACCUACCUAUAAGACUGGGAUAACUUCGGGAAACCGGAGCUAAUACCGGAUAAUAUAUUGAACCGCAUGGUUCAAUAGUGAAGUCGGUUUUGCUGGCACUUAUUGGUGGAUUCGCGCCGCAUUAGCUAGUUGGUAAGGUAACGGCUUACCAAGGCAACGAUGCGUAGCCGACCUGAGAGGGUGAUCGGCCACACUGGAACUGAGACACGGUCCAGACUCCUACGGGAGGCAGCAGUAGGGAAUCUUCCGCAAUGGGCGAAAGCUUGACGGAGCAACGCCGCGUGAGUGAUGAAGGUCUUCGGAUCGUAAAACUCUGUUAUUAGGGAAGAACAAAUGUGUAAGUAACUAUGCACGUCUUGACGGUACCUAAUCAGAAAGCCACGGCUAACUACGUG